CCCUUCGAUGAUCGCGCCGGUGCCCUCGCAAGGGGCUUAAUCGGGAAUGCGGUGCGGGGGCUUGCUCCCAAAUCCGUGGCUGUCCCUGCAACUGUAAGCGGAUAGCGCGAUGCACAUGCUCCUGAACUCAGGGGCGGCCACUGGACAGCGCGCAAGCGCCAAGUCUGGGAAGGCGUGCAUCAAGCUGUGACCCGCGAGCCAGGAGACCUGCCGGCGCACCGGUCGCUCUU
rnacentral:ncRNA from 17 species